GACGAACGCUGGCGGCGUGCUUAACACAUGCAAGUCGAACGGAAAGGCCCUGCUCUUGCGGGGUGCUCGAGUGGCGAACGGGUGAGUAACACGUGAGUAACCUGCCCCUGACUUUGGGAUAACUUCAGGAAACUGGGGCUAAUACCGGAUAGGAGCUCCUGCUGCAUGGUGGGGGUUGGAAAGUUUCGGCGGUUGGGGAUGGACUCGCGGCUUAUCAGCUUGUUGGUGGGGUAGUGGCUUACCAAGGCUUUGACGGGUAGCCGGCCUGAGAGGGUGACCGGCCACAAUGGGACUGAGGUACGGCCCAGACUCCUACGGGAGGCAGCAGGGGGGAAUAUUGCACAAUGAGCGGGAGCCUGAUGCAGCGACGCCGCGUGCGGGAUGACGGGCUUCGGGUUGUAAACCGCUUUCGCCUGUGACGAAGCGUGAGUGACGGUAAUGGGUCAAGAAGCACCGGCUAACUACGUG
rnacentral:rRNA from 1 species